ensembl:lncRNA
CAGGGAUUUAGCUCAGUGGUUCCACCUCCUGCCUCCCAAGCACAAGGUCCCAAAUUCGAACCCCGGUACCCCCCCAAAAAGGGGGGGGGGCGGGAAUUUUGCUCGGUGGUGCCACACCUGCCUUGCAAGUGAAAGGUCCUGAGUUUGAUCCCUAGCACCAAAAAAAAGAAAGAAAGAAAUGGAGAUUUUGAACAUCCUACCUAGAAUUUAAACCCAGUUGUUGCAUGGUAAUGCCUAUGCCCAUAACCACUGCAUUGUACUGUCUCCUGAAUGUGAUACCCCCAGAGAAAGUGGUGCUUGAAUUUACCCAGGUCCUCCAAAAGGAUAUACUCCCUCUGCUCCAGAAGAAAUAGAUCCAAAUACUUAUCAGUCCAAAAUUUCAUCUUCAAGUCAUGUGUGGUGAUACACUCCUACAAUCCUAGCAUUCAGGAGCCUGAGGCAAGAGGAGCCCAAAUUUUAGCCCAGCCUGGGCCACAUAGCAAAUUCAAAGCCAAAGAAAGUCACUUUUCAGUCUCUAUAAACAGACCCUGAAAACUGUCCUCUUCCCUUUCACAGACAUCUGCUAGACUAAGGAAUUAAAAGAAUCUAUUUAAGGACAAGUGACAACUGUGGAUGCCCAAUUGGUUGGGUUAUUGAGGAACCAGGUUUUGAGAGACUGUGAGCCCUGCAGGGCUGGGAAUCUGGCUGAUCAGUGGUUUGGCAAAUAAGGUCCUAGGUUUCCAAAUGAACUGAUAACUGAUACUCUACAACUCUGUGCUGGGAAGCCUAUUUUUGAGUACUAGAGAUUGAACCCAGGGCUGCAGCAAAUGUUAGAUGGCGAAGCCCAACCGACCUCCAUUGCUGCUUGACAAAGUUCCAGCUGGGGGAAAGAAAGGGUGGAACACAUCGUACCCUCAUGUUUUAUUUUUUCUUGCCAUAAUGUUUAAAAUUGUUACUCUGGUCACAGGAGUCAUUGUGUUUGUGACUAACAAUAAACUCUCCAUGAGGCAAAUUGGCAAUGAUAUAUUGAAAUUUGAUCGGGCUCAAAAGUCUCAAAUUCCAGUUUCUCUUAGUUCUAUUGCCACAUCCACUCCUAAAGAAACCUCUCCUAAAACUCCCUCUGUUUUCCCACUAACUAUAACUCCCUCUCUUAUUGCUGACGUUCCUUUUACUAAAGGGGUCUUAUAAAGAAAUUAGAAGGAUAGACUUUAGAUGUAAGUAAUAGUGGGAAAUGAGAAAUGGAGAGAAAGUUAAGACAGGCAAAUACAUUAAGGGGGCAAGUUAUUCAAUAUUUCUCACAGUGCUGAAAAUAUUUCCUGCUCAUGAACUAUGAACCCGAAUGACACUUAGGUAAGAUAGAUAGAGGUAUAGGAAAGUAGAGAGCUAAUAGCAAACUAUAUUAACCAUUGUGCAGUUUCUCAAGGGCUAGCUGGUGACCACAAUUUUGACAUUUAAUUAAUUAAAUCUUGCUUGUACCCCCACUGAUAUAGAGAUUUUGAUUAAGUUACAUUUUGUUCUGCUUAGGUAUGGGAAAAUAAGGGGACAAUUGUAAUUUUUAAGAUAUGUAUUCAUGAUGUUCAAUGAAAUGAAUCAGCUUAGAAAAAAUAUACUGUUUAAUAAGAAAUAACUUUUACCUCACUAGAUAUUGCUAAGGCAACCUAAAAUGUAAACAUGUUCCGCCCAAUGCCUCUUAGCUAUUGCUUAAAGAUAUAAAAAUAAAUCGGACCCUGAGACUUCUCAGAGGGAACCUGAA